UACGUAGGGUGCGAGCGUUGCCCGGAUUUAUUGGGCGUAAAGGGCGCGUAGGCGGCCACGCACGUCCGUUGUGAAAUCGCCCGGCUCAACUGGGCGGGGUCGGCGGAUACGGCGUGGCUGGAGCAAGCUAGGGGGCAAUGGAAUUCCCGGUGUAGUGGUGGAAUGCGUAGAUAUCGGGAGGAACACCAGUGGCGAAGGCGGUUGCCUGGAGCUUUGCUGACGCUGAUGCGCGAAAGCGUGGGGAGCGAUCCGG
rnacentral:rRNA from 1 species